AUAGAAGAUAGGGUAUUUUGAGAUCUAUGCAGAUGAAUGGAUGAUGGAUGGAGUACUUUAAGAUGAUAGAGGAUAGUUUGAGAUCUGGGCAAAUUGAUAAAUGAUAGAGGAUGGAGUAUUUUAAGAUAUAUGCAUAUGAAUAAAUAAUGAUAGAAGAUGGAGCACUUUGAUAUUACAUUAAAGUCAUGAUUUGAUCUCUUUAAAUGAAUGGUAUUUGUAUUCUUUUUCUCACUCCGUUAACAAUGUCAAAAUUUAGAUAG
rnacentral:lncRNA from 1 species